rnacentral:rRNA from 1 species
CGAGAAAGCCCGCAAGGGUGAGUACAGCGGCGCACGGGUGAGUAACACGUGGGUAAUCUGCCCUGGAGUCCGGAAUAACUCGCCGAAAGGCGUGCUAAUGCCGGAUAAAACCACGGGGACCUCGGUCCCUGCGGGAAAAGGUGGCCUCUGCAUGCAAGCUAUCACUUCAGGAUGAGCCCGCGGCCCAUCAGCUCGUUGGCGGGGUAACGGCCCACCAAGGCUACGACGGGUAGCUGGUCUGAGAGGACGAUCAGCCACACUGGAACUGAGACACGGUCCCGACUCCUACGGGAGGCAGCAGUGGGGAAUCUUGCGCAAUGGGCGAAAGCCUGACGCAGCAACGCCGCGUGUGUGAUGAAGGUCUUCGGAUCGUAAAGCACUGUCGCGAGGGACG